UACAGAGGUCUCAAGCGUUGUUCGGAUUCAUUGGGCGUAAAGGGUGUGUAGGUGGCGCCGUAAGUCAGGUGUGAAAUCUCGGGGCUUAACUCCGAAACUGCAUUUGAUACUGCGGUGCUUGAGGACUGGAGAGGAGACUGGAAUUUAUGGUGUAGCAGUGAAAUGCGUAGAUAUCGAUAAGGAAGACCAGUGGCGAAGGCGGGUCUCUGGACAGUUCCUGACGCUGAGGCACGAAGGUCAGGGGAGCAAACGGG
rnacentral:rRNA from 1 species